rnacentral:misc_RNA from 1 species
UACGUAGGGGGCAAGCGUUGUCCGGAAUUACUGGGCGUAAAGCGCGCGCAGGCGGUUCUUUAAGUCUGAUGUGAAAGCCUCCGGCUCAACCGUGGAGGGUCAUUCGAAACUGGGGGACUUGAGGACAGAAGAGGAGAGUGGAAUUCCACGUGUAGCGGUGAAAUGCGUAGAUAUGUGGAGGAACACCAGUGGCGAAGGCGACUCUCUGGUCUGUCUCUGACGCUGAGGUGCGAAAGCGUGGGUAGCAAACAGG